UGGGGAAUAUUGGACAAUGGGCGAAAGCCUGAUCCAGCAAUGCCGCGUGAGUGAAGAAGGCCUUAGGGUUGUAAAGCUCUUUCGGCGGGGACGAUGAUGACGGUACCCGCAGAAGAAGCCCCGGCUAACUCCGUGCCAGCAGCCGCGGUAAUACGGAGGGGGCAAGCGUUGUUCGGAGUUACUGGGCGUAAAGGGCGCGUAGGCGGUGCAACAAGUCAGGCGUGAAAGCCCCGGGCUUAACCUGGGAAUUGCGCUUGAUACUGUUGCGCUAGAGAUCGGGAGAGGAUAGCGGAAUUCCCAGUGUAGAGGUGAAAUUCGUAGAUAUUGGGAAGAACACCGGUGGCGAAGGCGGCUAUCUGGACCGUAUCUGACGCUGAGGCGCGAAAGCGUGGGGAGCAAACAGG
rnacentral:rRNA from 1 species